rnacentral:rRNA from 1 species
AGCGAACGCUGGCGGCAGGCUUAACACAUGCAAGUCGAGCGGACCUUUCGGGGUCAGCGGCGUACGGGUGAGUAACGCGUGGGAACGUUCCUUCCGGUUCGGAAUAACCCUGGGAAACUAGUGCUAAUACCGGAUACGCCCUUAUGGGGGAAGGUUUACUGCCGGAAGAUCGGCCCGCGUCUGAUUAGCUCGUUGGGGGGGUAACGGCCUGCCAAGGCGACGAUCAGUAGCUGGUCUGAGAGGAUGAUCAGCCACACUGGGACUGAGACACGGCCCAGACUCCUACGGGAGGCAGCAGUGGGGAAUAGUGGACAAUGGGCGCAAGCCUGAUCCAGCCAUGCCGCGUGAGUGAUGAAGGCCUUAGGGUUGUAAAGCUCUUUUAUCCGGGACGAUAAUGACGGUACCGGAGGAAUAAGCCCCGGCUAACUUCGUG